GAGUAUUCCUCGCAGGGGAAGAUCUUCACGGCCACAGUCUCGUACUGCCCCGAGCGGCUGUGGCUCAGCUUGGCCCUCCACACCUCGGCGAACUGCCCCUUGCCCACCAUCUCGUCCAGCUCGAUGGGCAGCAGCUCAGCGGGGCGGCUGCUGCUGGCUGGGCUCUCAUCCAUCAGCACGGACAGCUUCUCCUCCCGCUCGCCUGCCUUCCCCUGCUCCGGCAGCACCGGCGGCUGUCCCUGUUUGCCACCCCACGCCUUGGCUCGCUUGCGUCGCCUCUGCGUGCGGCAGAGGUAAAAUAUCACCGUGACCAUCACCGCCACCAGCAGCGGGGGCAGCAGGCUGAUGGCAGCCACUGGGAUCACCUCUUUGCUCUGCAGCAUGGAGUAGCCUGAGGGGAGGAAAGCAAAGGCGAGGUGCUGCUGCUGCGGGUCUGCCACAGCUCGUUUUCAUCACGCGGAGGAGGAAAAUAUGCAAAGCUGUUAAUGGAGCGCAGCCCUUCCCGGGGCCGCACAAGGGCUCAUCCCCACACAGAGCCCAGAUGUAAGCACUUAGCAAGGGGGGUGACUGGUUUUGGUCUCAUAUUUAGCUCCAUUUAUCAACAGAAGACACAGGCCAUCACCACUUGGAUGGGACAGUGUGCCACAAGAGACUGCAAAGGGCAUUUUGGGGGGGUCCCAAGCGCUGCUUGCGCUUGUGGCAAGGGGAGCUUGGCUGGAAAUAACAAUGAUAAAUCUGAGACAAGGCUCAAACAAAGCAAAUCUCUGAGAGGGCUUGGGGCUGGGGCUUUGCUGGACCCCUGUGGUACACAGAGAGUCAGGAGUGAUGCUGGAGGUAGCAGUGUGCAGGACCACCCAGCUCAGGGGCGUGCUGGGAUGCUUUGCAGGAUAAUUAGCACACGGGAGCAUCAUUUCAGCAAUUUUGUCUGCCAGUGCUGGCAUCUCCUUCCUCCUUACAGGAGCAACCCCAACAAUCACCAGGGCAUGGCUGCAUUUGUUUCAUUUCUUUUAAAACCCCUGUUGGCCUUCAGAUUGAGAGGGGGAGGACACACACACAAAGCCAUAACCCUCACACAACAUAUAAUUGUCUGAUCCUUUGAUGUUCAUGAUUCCUGGAAUAAACAUGCUGACUUCAGUAGAGAUAUUCAAGUAAAAUCUUACUCAGAGGUUUUUCUGCCAAGUAUAAUAACCCAGGGGAAGAGGGAUAAGAAUCAUUCCAUAAGCAAAACUCUCGCUGCUUGACCUCAGUGUGUGCAGAUCAUAAUUCAGGUUCUGGAAAAACAGAGCAUUUAGCUAUUUUCCUUGGCAAAUUUCAAAAAAAUGUGCUGCAGCUAAUUUCUGCAAGGCUGUGAAAGCGUUUCUAAAAUAGGCAUCAGGUUUAAACCACAAGAUCAACCCAAACUGAUAUAAAUCAAUAACUAACUCAGGAAUAUGUUUAUUUUGGAAAGUAUUGGGCUUGGAUAUCACCUACUGCUUUAAUGGAUUUACCCGAUGCUUUGGAUCCCGUCUUUGAAACUCUGAAGAAAGAGAAGAUCUUUUUAAGGGAGUUGCGUGCACAAGUCCCGAAAAGGGGAAGUUAACACAACUUCAGGAAAUUCCUGCAUGAGGAUGCCCCUUCCUGAUGGAAGUCUUUUGAUACACAGGGGCUGCAGCAGGGCUUAGACCCUUCUAUGGAGAGCACAUGUAGUUGAGCUGGCAGUAACCACAGGUCUGUAAACCCACACCUUGCUGAGCAUUGCUGCAUGGGUCUGUCCAUCCCUGCUGAGGGGAUAUGGACCACCAGGGCCGGGCUCAGCUGGAGCACAGGUGGAAAGCACUUGCCAUGCUCCACCCUACCCAGCAUCUUCCCGAGGUCUCACCUGGACUUCUGUGUGCACAGCUGUAGGAAAUGAUGGCUCUGUGUGCUCAUUAGCAUGGUGUCUGGGCUCUGAUGGAGUCCCCUGCAUCCCUAGUGCAAGGGCAAUGCCACCCAGCAGCCCAGACCCGAAAGCAAAGCUUAAGGAAUCAAGAAACAGGAAAAAAAAAUCUGUCUGCUUCAGCAGACGAGAAGUGCUCGUUUCUCUGCUCAGGAGUUGUCUAGACCAUUGAACAUGACAAUAAUUUAAUAUUUUGAAUGCAAAUGAUCCCUUAAAGCUGAAGGAAAGGAUGUAAAGAAUGGGGUCUGUGAGCCUGGGGUUUGCCUAGGCUGGCCCCUGGCCCAUACCUAAGAGGAGAGGUAUGGGCUGCACUGGUCUUGCUCCGACUUCCAGCGCUUUCCGCGCUGGCUGACAGGAGGAGGCUGGUUAUGGAGCCUUUGCUGGGGGUGGCAUUUCCAAUGAGCCACUUGUCAUUUUUGUGUGAAAUUGCAUAUCCCGGCACCAGCUUUGGGAUUUGACUGUCUCUCCCUAGAAGUGUGUGUACCUGUUAUGUUUGGCUGGGGAAGCAGCAAAGAACCGCCAAAUUUAGCAUCACUUGCCUCCAUUAAAGUGGCUUGUUUGUUCAGAGAAUUUGCAUUUCAUGUGAUGUUUUUCUUUUUUCCUUAUAUUGCAGGAGAAGCUAUACCACUGGCUCGCAGGUUCUGCUUAGGCUCAUUUUCAGUAUCUCCUUAUGUGAUUAUGGAAAAUUUGAGGCAUUUCAUUUUGCUUUUGUUACAGGUUGGAUUGUUGAUGGACACUUGGAUAAACCUGGUCCACUUGGAACUGGGGAGGUUCAGACAAUCCCCCAAAGGCUCUGGUUGGAAAUAUUUCCAAAGCAUACGACCCUCCUGAGGAGCAGCCUCUGCCUCCUGACCUGGAGGUGCAAACCUGAGAGUGAAGGGAUGGAGAGGUGUCACCAUGUCUUUGAGGUAAUUUGACAGAGGAGCUCUCUGUCAAAUGAGGAUGAGGAGUCCUGUGAGGGUGAGAUCCCUUCUGCUAAGGCUGGGCCCUGGAGCACAUGAGCGUGAGGCCAAAGCUGCUGCUGUGACUGAGAUACCCACUCAGGACAAGUUUGGAUGAUCCACAAAUGCCUCUGCAAGUGAGCAGCAGGCAGCAAGGCUGGCCUGGAGGUGAUCUUAUUCUCUGGCUGAAUCUUAGAAUAGGACGGGAGGUGCUGGGAGGGGUUGGCAGGGUAUUUGUGACUGUGUAGCUGCCUCACCCCAUCCAAUCCACAUUGCAGGAUGCAGCUCCAUCCUGUGCAGUGGGAUUGCUUCCCUGGCAUGGGGAUUCCUGCUGCAGGGGCCUUGCUUUUUCCUGUAAAUGGGAAAAACCCAGUGACACACUGGAUUGCCUAGCCAGGAUUUAAGGUGGCUUCUCCAUGUGUGCGUAGGGGAAUUUGGGGCAGGGGGUGGAUUUUGUUAUUUGUUUGUUUGGGUUUCUUGUUGUGUUUUGCUUUUUAAAAGUCCAUAAUGCAACAAUUAGGUUGAGGCAAACUCCUACUGAAAGCUGGCAUACAGCAUUCAUGCUAAUUAGCAGGUUGAGAUAAAGCCUAGCGAUAAGUGCUUGGCUGGCUUUCACUUUGGCAGCCAAAUUAAAAGGGAAAGUGGAGGAAAAUCACUCUGGGCAGACCCAAAAUGGAUGCUUUUUUAGUUUUGCUCACGGGGCCCAAAAAGCUGGGGGAGGCACUCUUCCGGGCCAAACCAUGCAGGGUGUGCUUGGCCAGAAAUGCAAGAUCGUGUUUCCUGUCCAGGCACCUCUCACAGGAACAGAAAAGGACUUUUUCCAGGGGAUAGGAAAGAGGUGGGUUAAACCCAGUGGGUUAACCCCAGUGCAGUGCCAGCCUAGUUGUCCAUGUGCUGGAUGGGGACUGACCCUGGCUGCACCCCUGCAUGUGAACUGAGGUUUCACCCACCCCUGAUGCAAGAG